rnacentral:tRNA from 1 species
GGGGGAUUAGCUCAGUUGGGAGAGCGUCUGAAUGGCAUUCAGAAGGUCAGCGGUUCAAGUCCGCUAUUCUCCA